CUAGCGACUUCAGAGUUUGAUCCUGGCUCAGGACGAACGCUGGCGGCGUGCCUAACACAUGCAAGUCGGACGGAGCACUUCGGUGCUUAGUGGCGAACGGGUGAGUAACGCGUGAGAAACCUGCCUUUCAGUGGGGGACAACAGUGGGAAACUACUGCUAAUACCGCAUAAUGUUAUUUGGGGGCAUCCCCGAAUAACCAAAGAUUUAUUGCUGAAAGAUGGUCUCGCGUCUGAUUAGCUAGUUGGUGAGGUAACGGCUCACCAAGGCGACGAUCAGUAGCCGGUCUGAGAGGAUGAACGGCCACAUUGGGACUGAGAUACGGCCCAG
rnacentral:rRNA from 1 species